AUGCACGCUGGCGGCGUGCCUAAUCCCUGCAAGUCGAGCGAACAGACGAGGAGCUUGCUCCUCUGACGUUAGCGGCGGACGGGUGAGUAACACGUGGAUAACCUACCUAUAAGACUGGGAUAACUUCGGGAAACCGGAGCUAAUACCGGAUAAUAUAUUGAACCGCAUGGUUCAAUAGUGAAAGACGGUUUUGCUGUCACUUAUAGAUGGAUCCGCGCCGCAUUAGCUAGUUGGUAAGGUAACGGCUUACCAAGGCGACGAUGCGUAGCCGACCUGAGAGGGGGAUCGGCCACACGGGAACUGAACCACGGUCCAGACUCCUACGGGAGGAAGCAGUAGGGAAUCUUCCGCAAUGGGCGAAAGCCUGACGGAGCAACGCCGCGUGAGUGAUGAAGGUCUUCGGAUCGUAAAACUCUGUUAUUAGGGAAGAACAAAUGUGUAAGUAACUAUGCACGUCUUGACGGUACCUAAUCAGAAAGCCACGGCUAACUACGUG
rnacentral:rRNA from 1 species